rnacentral:rRNA from 1 species
CUACGGGUGGCAGCAGUGGGGAAUAUUGGACAAUGGGCGAAAGCCUGAUCCAGCCAUGCCGCGUGUGUGAAGAAGGCCUUCGGGUUGUAAAGCACUUUCAGUGGGGAAGAAAGCCUUGGGGCUAAUACCCUCGAGGAAGGACAUCACCCACAGAAGAAGCACCGGCUAACUCCGUGCCAGCAGCCGCGGUAAUACGGAGGGUGCGAGCGUUAAUCGGAAUUACUGGGCGUAAAGCGCGCGUAGGCGGUCUGAUAAGCCGGUUGUGAAAGCCCCGGGCUCAACCUGGGAACGGCAUCCGGAACUGUCAGGCUAGAGUGCAGGAGAGGAAGGUAGAAUUCCCGGUGUAGCGGUGAAAUGCGUAGAGAUCGGGAGGAAUACCAGUGGCGAAGGCGGCCUUCUGGACUGACACUGACGCUGAGGUGCGAAAGCGUGGGUAGCAAACAGGAUUAGAUACCCUUGUAGUC